rnacentral:misc_RNA from 1 species
GAUGAAGAACGUAGCGAAAUGCGAUACGUAAUGUGAAUUGCAGAAUUCAGUGAAUCAUCGAGUCUUUGAACGCACAUUGCGCCCCCUGGUAUUCCGGGGGGCAUGCCUGUCCGAGCGUCAUUGCUGCCCUCAAGCACGGCUUGUGUGUUGGGCCCCCGUCCCCCUCUUUUUAGGGGGGGACGGGCCCGAAAGGCAGCGGCGGCACCGUGUCCGGUCCUCGAGCGUAUGGGAAGCAACUCUUUUUGUCACCCGCUCCUGUAGGUCCGGCCGGCGGCCUGCCCAACCCUCAAUCAAUCUUUUUAACCAGGUUGACCUCGGAUCAGGUAGGGAUACCCGCUGAACUUAAGCAUAUCAAUAAGCGGAGA